rnacentral:rRNA from 1 species
UACGUAGGGGGCAAGCGUUGUCCGGAUUUAUUGGGCGUAAAGAGCGUGUAGGCGGUCCGGUAAGUCCGCUGUGAAAGUCGGGGGCUCAACCCUCGGAUGCCGGUGGAUACUGUCGGGCUUGAGUACGGAAGAGGCGAGUGGAAUUCCUGGUGUAGCGGUGAAAUGCGCAGAUAUCAGGAGGAACACCAAUUGCGAAGGCAGCUCGCUGGGACGUUACUGACGCUGAGACGCGAAAGCGUGGGGAGCAAACAGG